rnacentral:rRNA from 1 species
GAUAAACGCUGGCGGCGUGCUUAACACAUGCAAGUCGAACGAAGUUUUUCCUUCGGGAGAAACUUAGUGGCGGACGGGUGAGUAACGCGUGGGUAACCUGCCCUGUACAGGGGGACAACAGCUGGAAACGGCUGCUAAUACCGCAUAAGCACUUAGCACUGCAUGGUGCAUAGGGAAAAGGAGCAAUCCGGUACAGGAUGGACCCGCGUCUGAUUAGCCAGUUGGCAGGGUAACGGCCUACCAAAGCGACGAUCAGUAGCCGAUCUGAGAGGAUGUACGGCCACAUUGGGACUGAGACACGGCCCAGACUCCUACGGGAGGCAGCAGUGGGGAAUAUUGCACAAUGGAGGAAACUCUGAUGCAGCGACGCCGCGUGAGUGAAGAAGUAUUUCGGUAUGUAAAGCUCUAUCAGCAGGGAAGAAAAUGACGGUACCGGACUAAGAAGCACCGGCUAAAUACGU